rnacentral:rRNA from 1 species
UACAGAGGGUGCGAGCGUUGUUCGGAAUUAUUGGGCGUAAAGGGCGCGUAGGCGGCGCGGUAUGUCACCUGUGAAAUCUCCUGGCUCAACUGGGAGCUUGCAGGCGAAACUGCCGUGCUGGAGUGUGGGAGAGGUGCGUGGAAUUCCCGGUCGGUAGCGGUGAAAUGACGUAGAUAUCGGGAGGAACGACCUGUGGCGAAAGCG